CGGGAUGCUGCUCCUCCGCUUGGUGGCCAUGGGGUGAGUUCAUCCCCUGCCCUAUCUCUCCCCCUUUCUCUCUCUAAUAUCUGGUUUGAUCCUCCAUGGUAGAUGUGCAGGCAAGGAUUGGAUACUUGAGGAAGGAGGGGUCGACCUUGCCUUGCUGCAGCUCGGGACGCACCACCCAUGGAGCUUCCUCCUUUCUGUCUUCAGGUGAGUUCGCCCCCUCCUCUCUCUGCUCUUGUUCGUGGCCAUUGAGGCAUUGUUCUUGGUUAGGAUUUACCACCGUUUGGGCUCAAUUGGCUACUGUUUGAGGUCAAUUUUGUUUAUACUGUUAAGUGUUGAUUGUUUCUUGCAUUGAACAGCAAGGUUAGACAUGAAUUUGUUAGUAGAAUAGAUCCCUGUCUGAACUGAGUUGUUAGUUCAAUUGUCCAAUCUUGAAUUUAGGGAGCUGCUACUGAAAGAUUUUUUUCAUUUUGUAUGUCAUGGGUUGGCCAUCAAUUUUAUUAAACAUCAAGGUUAACCACGAUCACACGAAGCCGAAGGUGCAUGAUGAAAAAUCCGUACGUGCAUGCUCUAUCCAUCCAGAAUUGAUCCAUCAGGCUGCUUCCAAAGCUAGCUUGAUCAUGCACUUGUGCCUCUCGGCAGACUUCUACUGACGUAUGUGAUACACAGUCCAGGCAAAAUCACAUCAUACACCAUGGAAGAAGUACUCGCGCCCGUAUUCCAGAUCUACGACAAGAAUGGGGAGAUGGCCGGAAGUACACUUGGGCUCAAUCGUUGACAUGUGCAGGAGGGCAGCGGCCUUGUGAACCAAACGUGAGGAUAACGGUACAUGUGGGAAUGAAAAUAUCUGAUAUUCGAAUUAGUUAGAUUACUUUCUGGACUCCUAGCAGUACACCUAAAUUUGGGAGCUUAUGUUCAGGGUAGUAUUUUAUUUUUUGAGAAAUAUGUUCAGGGUAGUAACCAAGUAAAAAACACAAUUCCAGUGUGAUCAGCUAAUAUUUUUGGUACAUUAGCAUCUAUUUCUUUUUCUCAAUCCAUUGAUUUUAGCUUGGGCAAGUGGUGUUUUGUUGUUUUACUGGCUGAAUUUGCAGACCGUGCAUGGCUCAUGCAUAUUAAUUCAUCAAUAUCUCUGACUUUCCUGCAGUUCAAGGUAGAUCAUAGAUUACAUUUCUAAGCAGCUCACCUAUAUCAGUAAUUGUAUAUUGUGUUUAUUUGAAUUAAAAUGGCUUGUGUAUUCUGCCGGAGUAGUCACUGGUCAUAUUAAUUUCAAAACAACAAUUUCUAAUUUAGUAUUGCGCUUGUCUUUAUUGUUAUGUCUGAAAAGAAGAUUCCAAACAAAACCAAGUCACGGUUUGUGUUUAUACACAUUGGAUAAAGGAUGUUUCGAUCACUAGAUUUAAACUAUAGGUUUUAGGAUAAGUUGUGUUCUAUAAGCUUGUUGUGAUGUUAAAAGUUUACCCCUUCCUAGGUCAUUGGAAUCAAAUAGAAAUAUAUAUGUGACUGUAGUAAAUUAAACAGCAAAUCGAGGAGGUCAGGGACCGGCUAGAGACCUCAUCGAGCACCGCCGUCACCGGUAGUGACAACACAGUCGCUGUGUUUGGUCUAUCCCGAGCCUCUUUUUUGUGGUUCGUGUUCUUUUGAUAUCCUCUUGCCAUGAUAUUCUAGCUGGACUUCUG
rnacentral:lncRNA from 1 species